GGGCCAGUGGCGCAACGGAUAACGCGCCUGAUUACGGAUCACGCGACUCCAGGUUCGAAUCCUGGCUGCCUCG